CUUAAUCUUUGAGACAAGCAUAUGACUACUGGCAGGAUCAACCAGGUAGCAUUCCUCAACGACGUCCUCACCGCACGGCCGGGCCGAGACGGGAGCGACGGUCGUGCACCGUUGGUGUCUAAUGCAUGCUCGGGCAACAAUAAGAGGCCGUGUGACCUCAAUGCCCUCAUGCUUUCCGUAUCUGAGAGCUCGAGCGAUGCCCCGAUCACCACGACGGCAUAGACGUGACGCGGGUAAUGGGCCAUGCUUCGAGUUUCGUCUCGUGACCCGCCAACCAAGCAGCGGACCGCUAAACAAACGAGGGACGGUUGGACAAACUAAUGCCAUCGUGUAGGUACGCAACACAGGAAACUGGGGUCAAGGCCAAAGCUUUGCUGCACUUGGGCCAAAACUGAGGAGUCGUGAGGGGCACGUGUCGCUGCCAAGCAGGGAUCCGACGUA
rnacentral:misc_RNA from 1 species